rnacentral:rRNA from 1 species
AGUGAACGCUGGCGGUAGGCCUAACACAUGCAAGUCGAACGGCAGCACAGUAAGAGCUUGCUCUUACGGGUGGCGAGUGGCGGACGGGUGAGGAAUACAUCGGAAUCUACUUUUUCGUGGGGGAUAACGUAGGGAAACUUACGCUACUACCGCAUACGACCUACGGGUGAAAGCAGUGGAUCUUCGGACCUUGCGCGAUUGAAUGAGCCGAUGUCGGAUUAGCUAGUUGGCGGGGUAAAGGCCCACCAAGGCGACGAUCCGUAGCUGGUCUGAGAGGAUGAUCAGCCACACUGGAACUGAGACACGGUCCAGACUCCUACGGGAGGCAGCAGUGGGGAAUAUUGGACAAUGGGCGCAAGCCUGAUCCAGCCAUACCGCGUGGGUGAAGAAGGCCUUCGGGUUGUAAAGCCCUUUUGUUGGGAAAGAAAAGCAGCAGGUUAAUACCCCGCUGUUCUGACGGUACCCAAAGAAUAAGCACCGGCUAACUUCGUG